UUGGAUUUUUCUUUACCCCCCACCCCUCCCUCCUUUUUUUUUUUUUUUUCCAUUUUCUUGUCUUCAGUUGCUUUCAGAUUACUGGAAGAUUUUUGAGAAUGUUUAGGAAAAAAGAAAAAGAAAAGAGCAUGUGUGUUAUAUGGCUACAACCAAUAAAACUAGUUUCUUUUUUGGGCUGUAAAUCUAUCAAUAGGAUCCAUGGGCUCAUCAAAUGGUGGGUUUUGAUCAAAUUUUUGUGCUGAUUUGGCUGGCUCAUAAGGUCAUGAGAUGGCCAGAUAUUAGAUCCAUGCAACAGAAAAACAACAGUCAGGAUUCAUUUCAACUCCACAUGAUGAAAGUAGUACAGACUAUCCCAAAUUUAACCAUAGAAACAGCAUAGUUCAAACUUCCAUCAAAACUUGAAACUUGGGCAGUGUCCUUCAAGUUGAGUGCAUUAACAUGGCAAAAAUAUGGCACCUAGUUCAAUAUACAUUUGGUAAACACGGAUCAUGAAGUUGUCUGCAAAAUAAAUUCGAUAACAUUCUCUUCUACAAGGAUUGUGCUAAGAUACGUCAAAUAUACUUCCACAUAAGAAAGUGACAACCCCCAUAAAGGCCAUAACUACCCGAAACUAAGCAUGGGCAUAACAGCUGAUACUGCCACGAAACAAAGUUGGUAAGGACACUUUUGAAGGAAGUUUGUUUUGGGCAUGGCAGAGAUAAUAUACAUGUGGCAUGUAUAGUCCAUCUUCCAGUACCUUUUCACUAGCAUUUUUGGUGAACAUGUAAUUUGACAGUUGCCUUCAAAAAAACAUAACUAACAUUCCCUCUAUAUGGAUACACAAAGAAUACACUAUUUUAUAGUUUGAUCAAUCAGUACCGAGAAUUCUUGCAACAAAUUGACUUGGGAACAUAGUAAAAAAAACGUGUAAGAACCCACAUAAGGAAUACACCUAAACUCUCAAGAAGAAAGAAAAUGCCUAUUGAGAAUUGAAAAAAAAAAAAAAAAAAAUCUCUACAAAGUAUAAAGAAAGUAUUCAAAGGAGUCAGUCAUGCUAGGAAAGGCACAAGAAAAGCUACAGACUACUAAUACAUAACAAUUUUGUUUUUGGAUGAGUAUGUGGGAGAAGGGUAUAAAAGACACUAUGAUGGUGAUAGAAAUGGAGACUGAAAACUAAUAAAUGAUUUCAAAGGAAAAGAUAUUAAUACCCGGAAAAGAUGAAUAUCAAGAAAACAAAAUCAAAGAGAAAGCAAUUAGGUCUCACUGCAACAUACAAUGCCGGCUAAGUUUUAGGAUCUUUGAGAAUUUGAAAGUAUAUAUAUUGAUGUAUUGGAACACUUUUGAAUCCCAUGACCAAAAAUAUAUCCCAGAGUUGAGGAAUUAUUCAAGGUUGACUAAAUCAAUCCAUUGAGAGACAAAUUAAUUUGAAGGGAUGAGAAAGGAGAAUGUUAUUACAGUCAAUAUUGUAUACAGGAAAAAACAAUCAAGAAGACAUCGAUUUGUCUAUUACCAACACACAACAUUUGCAUGUUAGGACAGAUUACAAAAUAAUAUUUUCAGAUCUUGAUCAGAAAUCAAAGUUAGCUUGUGGCUUCUGCACAGUACUUAAUGAAAAGACUAAUAAUAUCAUAUGCUGCAUUUAUUCAAUUAAUACACAACCAAGACAGAUUAGGGAAUCUAAAAUGGAGCUCAGAGUUCAUCGAUUGAUAUCUUAUCAAACUCAACCAAUCACACGAAAUGAUCUUGAUCUCUCACAAGGAAAAAGCGAAAUCACAAGCAUGAAAGAAAAACAAAUUAACCAAAAAAAUCUGCAAGUAAACAAUGAACAAUGAACAAUGAAAUCACAAGCAUGCCAAUUGCCAACAAGCCCAUUCUUCUGCAAAUUCUUUUUUCUCCUUCGUACGGAACCAAUAAAACAUGAAAGACUCCAAAAAUAAAAAAGUUGGAUUUCUGUUUGUGGGUCAAGAACAUGAAUAGAAUCCAAAAAAAUAAAAGAUAAAAAGUGGGAAUUUCUGUUAAAAUUGCUCAACAACACAAAAGCCAAAGAACUGGGAAUUAGCAAACUUGGUAUAAUCAAAAGUAUACACAAAGCAGAAUAGAACCUGUCAAAGGAAAAAUUACUUUUACAAAUGGGUAUGAACACAAUCAAGGGUAACGGAACAUAGAAGAACCCAAACAAAUGGGAGUUAUUGAGAACGGCCUACAUUACAACACAUCUCCCAAGUUCUCAAUCGAUCUCAAUCGAUACUGCAAUCAAUCUUGAAUCAAAGAAAAAGAAAAUCAAAUCCAACAACAAAAACAGACCAUUAGCAAAGAAAAAGCUACCUAUCAGCAGAAUUUUCACCAGAAGAAACCGUCAUUGUAUCACAGGUAGUUAAGAAAAUUCUCCACUAUUUUCUAUCCAGAAAUUGAAUUUCAAGAGGUGGGUGUUGGAGAGAAAAUCAGAGAGAAGAAGGCGAUGGCGGAUUUGAAUAAAAAUAAUAGAGAAUCUAUAAAUAGAAUCAAGGAACAGGGGCGAGAGAUGCGUCAGGUGUGGCCCCUGUGACGUGACAACAAUUCUUUUUUUCAUUUUAUUAGAAAUCUCCCCUUAAAUUCCCACUAUAUGUUUGUAAGAUCUCGGAACCGACAUCUCUUUUCUUUUUCUCCUUCGUUCUCAUAUUCGAACAGCUUAAAAUGAUUAUGGGAAUGAGAUUAAUUGAAAUAAAAUUUCAUUUAUAAAUGGAAUGUAUUUUUAAAAAUAAUUCUUAAAAAUUUAAAAGUUAAUUUUUUUUAGAUAAAUUGUGUUUAAAAUAAAAAUUUUAACCAUAAAUUCAAUUUAUAUAAUGCAAAUUAAAUUUAAUUCACAUCUUAUUAAAAAUAAAAAAGAAUUUUUUAAUUACAAAUAAAUUCAAAAUAAAUAAUUUUAAUAAAAUAUGAAUAUUAAUAAUAUAAUAAAAUCAUAGGUUAUAUUUUUUAUAAAUAUUAUAAAAAUAUAGACAUUAGCAUUAACUUAUUUAUUUUUUAAAAUAUAUAAUAAUAAUUCAAAAUUAAUAAUUUCUUAUGCUAUUCAUAUAAUUUUACAAAUAUUAUAAAAAUAUGGAUAUUAAGAUGUUAUAAAAUCAUAAUUAAUAUAUUUUGUUAAAAAUAAAAAAUUAUUAUUCAAAAUUAAUAAUUGUUAAUACUAUUCUAUUUUAGAUGUAUAUAAAAACAAAUAAAAAUAAUUUUUUAAAGGUAUAAAUGAGUCAAAUUAUUUAUUAUAUGCAUAUAUUUAUUAUUUAUUUACCAAAAUGAAAUUUUGGAUUAUUUUAUUUAACCUAUAAUUAAUUAAUCAAUUAUUAAAAUUUCAAAUGAUUCUUAAAAAUGAUCAGAUUUAUUAAAGAAUUUAAAAUAUUUUAUAGUCAUUAUUUAUAUUUUGAAUUUUAAAUUAUUUUUUAAAAUUAUUAAACUUAUUAAUAAAAUUAAUACAAAGUAUCAUUUUAUUUGAAAUUCACUUUCUCUAGUGAAAAAAAAAAAUCAGAAUAACAAUCCUUUAUUUUACUUUGCUUUUAAAACUUAUUUUAAAGAAUAACCAAAUUAUGGUAUAAAUUUUUAAAAACAAUUUUGUUUUAAAAUUAUAUGCUCAAAUAGGUUUUUAUUAUUUAAGCAAAAAGAAAAAAAUAUUUCAAGGAUUUUUUUUAAAUGAAAAUAAAAAAAUUAUUUCAAACUUUUUACAACAGGGAGAUUUUUUAAAUAAAAAUAAAAACAUAAAAUAGUUUAAAUUAUAUAUAUAUAUAUAUAUAUAUAUAUAUAUAUAUUUCCUUUCUGAAUAGAAAUGAAUCAUCAUUAUAACAUUAUAUUUCCAUAUGUAUAUAAUUGAAAUUACUAAAUUUAUUCUUGAAUUUAAGAGAGAAUAAUAAUAAAAACAAAAUAUUUAUUUUCAUUCUUCAUUUUUUAUACCAAACACUCCUUAAAUUAGAUGAAACGAAGAAUCUUAACCCAAUUUAAGAUGAAAACCAAAAUCUGUAUUUAUCAAUUUUUUUUAAAAUGGUUUUUAAAUAUAUAAAAUAAAUAUAAACUUUUUUAUAUAUAAGAUGCUUUAUUCUAAUUUAAAAUUUUCUGAUUUUGAAAACAAAAAAAUAUAAAGUAUAUCCAAACAAAUAUUUAGUCUUUAUUUGAUAUAUUUUUAAAAAAUAGUUUUUUUGUUUUCAGUAAAUAAAAAUAGAAAAAUAGGAUGAUUAUAAAAUAUUUUUUAAUUAUUUUCUAUCGUUUUCUAAAAACAUUUAAAAAAUAAUUAUACAAAUAAUUAAAAAUAAAUAAUUAUAAAUAAAAGUUAUUUUUAAAACAUAUUUUAAACUAUGAAAACGGUUAAAGGAUAUUUCGAGUUUUCAAGCAAACUUUUAUUUUACAAAAACAUUAAAGAAUAGUUUUUAUAAAAAAAAUUUUAAAUUAUUUUGAAAAACAAUUUCAUGGUAGAGUUUUAGCGUCUAUAAUAUAUUUUUUAUUUUUUUAUUUUUAAAUUAAAAAUUUGAUAGAACAUUUGUACAGCUAGUUUAGACUUAUCUUAUAUAUUGAAAAAUCAUUUAAAUUUUUUUUAAAGUUUGACUUAGUAAAAAUCUGAAAAAUACAUCAUUUUUUAAAAUAGUUUUUAAAAUUAUUAUUAUUUCUAAUAUAAGUCUUUGACAAAUCUUCUACCUAAUAUAAGAAUUUUUAUUUUUUAUUUUAAAAAUAGAAAAUACGUAACAAAUAAUACUCACUUGUACCAUAUGGCCUAAAUAAUUAGGCCAAGAUAGAUGGUGAAACCUUCAGGAGGACCAUCCAUCCAAUUUUAUACAUCUUUCUUAGAAGCUUACACGUUGAUUGUUGAUUGUGGGUGGGGGUGGCAAUGGGGCGGGUUUGGGAUGGGUCGUGUACCAACAUACUUAAAAGUGUGUUUGGUAGUAUCUUAGAAGUGUUUUAAGGAGAAUCAAUUAUCACGUGUUUAUCUAAAAAACACUAUAAAUGAUUUUUGAGAUUUUUAAAAACGUUUUCUAAAUUUUACCAAACACUCAUUUUACAUAAUGUUUCUAAGCUUAAAAGGUUUUCAUGCACACUUGAUUCUACAUUUUGUGAUUAUUUGAUGAAUAACUUGAUUUUUCGAUUAAAUUUUGUAAAUAAUAUCUUAAAGUCAUCUUAAUUUUAAACUCAUUAAUGAACCAAUCAUGAUUUGUUAUCAACAAAACUCACUUAAAAGAACCUUCGGCCAACACUCUUAUUUUAAAGAAAAAUUAAUGGGUACAUCAAAUGGUAGAUAGAAGGCAAGAAAUGAACCAUUACAAAAUUUAAUUGUCCUUUGAUUUUUUAGUCUCUUAAUUGUUUCCGUCCUACUUUCAUUGAUAUCCGGGAUUCAAAUAAGCCCUUAGCCCAUGUUUGGUUCCAAAAAAAUUGAAGGAAAAUGUGAGGAAAACAAAUUCGAUAGGAAAAAUAGAAGAAAACAAAAUGAAAAAAAAUAAAAAAUAAAUUUAAAAUUAAUAAAUUAUUUUUAUAUAUUAUUUCAAACUUUUUUCAUUUAUUUAAUUCUUCUAUAUAAAUAUUAAAUAAUUUAAAAAUAUACAAAUUUCUUAACAAUUUUAAUUAUAUUUAACUUUAUUUUGUAUUUUUCAUAAUAAAACCAAAUAUAAAAAAAUUAUUUUUCUUAACAUUUUUUUUCUUUAUCUAGAACCAAACAUAACCUUAAUAUUUUUUUAUAUUCUAUAAUUCCAUCCUACAUAUUUUGUUAUUAAGAUAUAAAAUUAAUUCAAAUAUAAUAAUUAUCUUUCAAAAUUAGAUGACAAUAAAUUAAAGGUUCCAGCAAUAAAUUAAAAUUUCACAAUAUGAAUGGAUAAUUUUCACAUUCUUGCAAAGCAAUGCCUUGAAAACUAUAUUUUGUAUAUGUAUAAAUGAAAUUUAUUGUGCCACAAUUAAUACAUGAACAAAAAUAAAAAAACAAAUGAAAUAAAAUAUGGUUAGCAAAAUGAAGCAACCCACAAAUAUUAACAUUGAUAGCAAAAUUUAAUUCAAAUUGGGAUCCAUAUGUUGUUUAUAUGAACUUGUAAUUAUUUUUUCUUAUUUAUUUUCAGCCUCCGCGUGGUUUCUAUCUCGUUCAGUUCUAGCUUACUCAGUCACUAAUGUGGGAACUCAACAUCCCACAUCGCUAUCGAAUGACAUGGAGUUGCAAACGACAUGAUAUAAAAGGAAAAUAAAGACACAUGAACAAAUACCCCUUUCUUGGCCUUUCGGCUAAGAUUAGGUGUGGUAGCUUUUCAUAUCAGAUUAAUAUCUGAUACGUUCCAUCGUUCCACAAGAUAUUAAAGUUAUUUUUUUAAGGGGGAGGUCCCACUGUAAUUACUUGCGGUUCGGGACCUCGCGCGUCGCUCCGGCGUUGCACUAUUGCCUGGGCCUGGCGCACCCCUCCAAGCUCCAGUCCUAAGGUGUUGUAAACUGAGUUUUCAUAACGAGGUGCAUAAGGCCCAUAGCAGGAUGGCCCGAUAUGACAAUUGGGUUCCCGGUACCAGUUCUCCUGAAAUUGUUGGAGAUGGCAAAGCCCAUUCUGGUGGUUCCAUGGAUUUGUGUAAACUUGUCUGGGUUGUGAGGGAAAGGUUUGUUGGGUUUGGGGACAGAGGAAUGUAGAUUGAAUGGUGUGAGAUCAAGGCAUGAGUUGAGAUGCUUAGUGUUUGGCUCAGUUGGAUCAUUGUUACUUGGAACCUUCUGAGAUAGUACAAAUCUCAAUUUUAUAUAUGGUACCAAAUGUCUUAUUUUAUCCUAUAUUAUAAUAGAAGAUUAAAGCAAUUUCAAGGGAGGGCUAAGUGCCCAAAACCCAAUUAGAUUUCACAUGGGCAUAAUUGUUCCUUAUUUAAGUUUAGUAAUACUCUCAGUUGAGUAAUGUUCUAUUUGUGUAACUAUGCAAAUAGUAGUUUUAAGCGGCAGCUGUUGCUCCUGGAGCUCCCUUCUGAUCAAGCUCUGCCAAAGCCGCCCACAAUUUGGGAUCAUCAUAAUCACGUAUGAGAAAGACGGGUUUUGCUUCCAUCAACAAGCUUUCAGGAUUCCUGGUAGUUAAACCAACAACAGGCAUUUCGGCAGCCACCCCAGCCUUAAUCCCCGAAACAGAAUCCUAACCAAGCAAAAAAAGUGACGGUAAUUCAGUUUACUUGUUUGAAUUUUGAACAACUAGCAUGAUAGGUGAAGAAAGAAAACCUCGAAGAUGAAAGUGUGAUCCUUCGACACUUGGAGGACUUCAAGAGCCUUCAAGUAGGGGUCUGGAAAUGGUUUGGCACGAUCACAUUCACUGCCGACAACAACUGCAUGGAAGAAAUCAGAGAGGCCGAGAAGUGAGAUCAUGAGUUCAGCAUUUGGUCUUGGAGCAUUAGAAACUGCAGCCCGUUUCAAGCCUCGAUCUUCAAUCCAUUUCCUUAUCUUGUGUAGGCCAUUUAAGGGCUUCACUUGGUCUUUCGCCAAUCUGUUGUUCAAAUAAGGAAAUCAUGUGUUGGCAUUUUGGAAAUUUCACCAAAGUGAGGGAAAAUGGAGAAGAUGGGAGUUUUACUUUCGGAACAAAACUUCCUUAUCAUCCGUGAAUUUUAAGCCCUUCUCAAGGUCCCAGUUAGGGAAGAGGCCCCUAGCAAUAUCAUCAUUAUGUUUGCCAGCAAUCUUCUCAAUGAAGAAUUCCUCCGUUAUUGGAACUCCGCCAUUAUAGUCUAUCUGUUAAAAAUGUCAGUAUCUCUCAUAAGCUCAUAAUAAUUGGUCCCAUGGGCUUAUAGCACAUAGAGUAUGUUUGUAAUUCAUAUCCUUGGUUUUCUAGAGAGAUGAUAGAGCAAUUGCAUGCCAAUAUGCAUUGUUCAUGAUGUGGUGAUAUGACAUCAACAUUAUGAAUCAAAGGUAACAAAAUUUCCUUCUAGGUGGUGAAAGAAAAACCUACCUGCAGAAGCAAUUCUCGGAAGGCAUAGUAGUGCAGAGGAUCUGAAUCGCAUAGAGUUCCAUCAAUAUCAAAUAGGACCGCUUCGAGAGGAGCAAGUCCAGAUAGAGAAUAUUUGCUGCUUCCACAAAAUAAAGAAAAAUCAAGUUACAAAAUUACUCAAUGUGAACAAUGAAACCAAGACUUAUAUGAGAGGGGCUCUUUAUCUAAACCAUGUCCCGGUCCCAUUUCCCUGUCUUCAGUUGCUUUCAGAUUACUGGAAGAUUUUUGAGAAUGUUUAGGAAAAAAAAAAAGGGAAAAAAGAGCAUGUGCAUUAUACGGCUAUAACCAAUAAAACUAAUUUCUUUUUUGGGCUGUAAAUUUAUCCAAUGAAAUCCAUGGGCUAAUCAAAUGGUGGGUUUUGAUCAAAUUUUUGUGCUGAUUUGGAUGGCUCAAAAGAUCAUGAGAUGGCCAGAGAUUAGAUCCAUGCAACAGAAAAACAACAGUAAGGAUUCAUUUCAACUCAAUGUGGAAAAAGCAGUACAUAAUAUCCAAGUUUAACUACAAAAACAGCAUAGUUCAAACUUCAAUCAAAACUUGAAACUUGGGCAGUGUCCUUCAAUUUGAGAGUGCAUUAAACAUGGUAAAAAUAAUAACUAUGGCAUUUACUUGUUGAAUUUGUCCUAAUUCUAGCACUUAUUUCAGCAUACAUUUGGUAAACACAAAUAUGAAGUUGUCUGCAAAAUAAAUCAAAUAACAUUCUCUUCAACAGGGAUUGUGCUAAGAUACAUCAAAUAUACUUCCACAUAAGAAAGUGACAACAUCCAUAAAGGCCAUAACUACUCGCAAUUAAGCAUGGGCAUAAAGCUGAUACUUCCAUGAAAUAAAGUUUGUAUGCACACUUUUGGAGGAAGAGAUUGUUUU
rnacentral:lncRNA from 1 species